rnacentral:rRNA from 1 species
CCCUUAGAUGUUCUGGGCCGCACGCGUGCUACACUGAGUGGAUCAGCGGGUCAGGUUGCGCGAAAGUGUUUCAUAAUCUUGAAAUCCGCUCGUGAUGGGGAUUGACGGUUGCAAUUUUCCGUCAUGAACGAGGAAUACCUUGUAAGCGCGGGUCAUCAUCCCGCGCUGAAUACGUCCCUGCCCUUUGUACACACCGCCCGUCGCUCCUACCGAUUGAGUGGUCCGGUGAGGCUUUGGGAUCUGAGCGGAAAGAGCGUUUCGCUGUUUCUGCUCGGAAAACUCAGUCGAACCUUAUCAUUUAGAGGAAGGAGAAGUCGUAACA